rnacentral:rRNA from 1 species
AUGAACGCUGGCGGCGUGCCUAAUACCUGCCAGUCGAGCGAACAGACGAGGAGCUUGCUCCUCUGACGUUAGCGGCGGACGGGUGAGUAACACGUGGAUAACCUACCUAUAAGACUGGGAUAACUUCGGGAAACCGGAGCUAAUACCGGAUAAUAUAUUGAACCGCCUGGUUCAAUAGUGAAAGACGGUUUUGCUGUCACUUAUAGAUGGAUCCGCGCCGCAUUAGCUAGUUGGUAAGGUAACGGCUUACCAAGGCGACGAUGCGUAGCCGACCUGAGAGGGUGAUCGGCCACACUGGAACUGAGACACGGUCCAGACUCCUACGGGAGGCAGCAGUAGGGAAUCUUCCGCAAUGGGCGAAAGCCUGACGGAGCAACGCCGCGGGAGUGAUGAAGGUCUUCGGAUCGUAAAACUCUGUUAUUAGGGAAGAACAAAUGUGUAAGUAACUAUGCACGUCUUGACGGUACCUAAGCAGAAAGCCACGGCUAACUACGU